GCCAGCGUGGGACAGUGGUUUGACCACUGGACUAUGACUCUGGAGACCAGGGUUCAAAUCCUGGUUCAACCA